GACGAACGCUGGCGGCGUGCUUAACACAUGCAAGUCGAACGGAAAGGCCCCUUUGGGGGUACUCGAGUGGCGAACGGGUGAGUAACACGUGAGUAACCUGCCCUUGACUUCGGGAUAACUUCAGGAAACUGGGGCUAAUACCGGCUAGGAAUCCUUGCUGCAUGGAGGGGGUUGGAAAGCUUCGGCGGUUUUGGAUGGACUCGCGGCUUAUCAGCUUGUUGGUGGGGUAGUGGCUUACCAAGGCUUUGACGGGUAGCCGGCCUGAGAGGGCGACCGGCCACAUUGGGACUGGGAUACGGCCCAGACUCCUACGGGGGGGCGCAGUGGGGAAUAUUGCACAAUGGGCGGAAGCCUGAUGCAGCAACGCCGCGUGCGGGAUGACGGCCUUCGGGUUGUAAACCGCUUUCAGCAGGGGCGAAGCUUGUGGUGACGGUACCUGCAGAAGAAGCACCGGCUAACUACGUG
rnacentral:rRNA from 1 species